CGCCCAGACUCCUACGGGAGGCAGCAGUGAGGAAUAUUGGUCAAUGGGCUUACGCCUGAACCAGCCAAGUCGCGUGAGGGAAGACUGCCCUACGGGUUGUAAACCUCUUUUGCCGGGGGACAAACGGCGGCACGCGUGCCGUCCUGAGGGUACCCGGAGAAAAAGCAUCGGCUAACUCCGUGCCAGCAGCCGCGGUAAUACGGAGGAUGCGAGCGUUAUCCGGAUUUAUUGGGUUUAAAGGGUGCGUAGGCGGGAUGCCAAGUCAGCGGUCAAAUACGGGGGCUCAACCCCGUCGUGCCGUUGAAACUGAUGUUCUUGAGUGGGCGAGAAGUAUGCGGAAUGCGUGGUGUAGCGGUGAAAUGCAUAGAUAUCACGCAGAACUCCGAUUGCGAAGGCAGCAUACCGGCGCCCAACUGACGCUGAAGCACGAAAGCGUGGGUAUCGAACAGGAUUAGAUACCCCAGUAU
rnacentral:rRNA from 1 species